GCUAUACAGAUGCAGGUGGAAACUACUGGUGUGAAGUUAUCCUGUGAACAAAUAAAGUUGACUUCCUAAAAUUUCCCUGUUCAAAUAGUUGUUGACAUAUCCUUGAAGAUUUUUAAAAGAAUGAUCUAUAAACACCGCACUUCAGAGUUAUGUUUGCAAAGCCAUCUAUUAUGUUUACAAAGAAGAUCUUGAGGUAGGAAUCUCUGGGUUCUGCAGGUGCUGCGUGAACCCCAGCAGGGCCAUUCCAGAUGCUCCACAGGACAGCGCUGAACGCACCGCAGUGAGCCUGGGAGGCCCUGGGCUACUGCUGCCUCCCCUUCUCUGGGCUGAACAUCAAGAAACCUCAAACCUGAGACAUGGUGGGAAAUCAGGAAGACAUGAGGCUUUGCUCAACACUGGAGAACACCAGUUCUUUUCAGUUUGUAUGCAUCUUUAUCAGCAUGGCCAUGACGUGUGUAAGGCAUUUCCAAGGGUGAGAUUUCCUCUGAAAUGUCCAAAGAAGUCAACCGCAUUUCAAAAACUACCACAAACUAAAUUAAAAGGCAAAUAUCACAAUUUAUUCUCAUAUUAGGUUUUUGAGUGAAAGAUUGGAUUCUAAUCUCAGUUCUGCCAUUUCUUCACUGGGGGUUUUGUUUUAAUCUUAGUUUCUCCAUUUUUCCUCCCUUCCUUCCUUUCUCUCUCCUUUUCUUCUUCUCUUCCCUCCUUCCUAUGUGGUUUGGCUGUGUCCUCACCCAAAUCUCAUCUUGAAUUGUAGUUUCCAUAAUCCCCAAGUGUGGUGAGAGGGACCUAGUGGGAGGUAAUUGAAUUAUGGGGGUGGUUUCCCCCAGGCUAUUCUUGUGAUAGUAAGUUACCACGAGAGCUGAUGGUUUUACAAGGGGCUUCCCCCUACGCUUGGCUCUCAUUCUUCUCUCUCUUGCCACUUGGGAAGAAGGAUGUGUUUGCUUUCCUUCCACCAUGAUUGUAAGUUUCCUGAGCCCUCCCCAGCCCUGCAGAACUGUGAGCCAAUUUAAUUUAUUUCCUUUAUAAAUUACCCAGUCUCUGUCCUUAUAGCAACAUGAGAAUGGACUAAUACACCUUUCAUUAAAUUAGCACUUAUCUCAACAGUUGAAAUGUUUUUACAAAGGUUUUGAAGCAUUAAAGAUAAUGAGUUAUUAAGAACUAGAUAUUUGAUUUAAGGAUCACACUUUUUUGCUCUUUUGACUCCAUAUCAACAUUCUGCAGUUGGUAGGGCUCCUCCCAUUAUCUCCAUUACCCAGAUGGGGAAACUCUUUAAAUGCCUCUCUUAAGAUCCACUGUGUGAUUUAGUAAAAUAUUGGGUCUAGAACCCAUAUCAUUAACUUGCACCUGUCUGUGAAAUCUGUGAACUUCUGGUGCCGAUGAUAUUAUGAAUCCCUCCAAGUAGAGGCGUGGUCUUCAGUCACCCAGAGGAGGUGUUCCAAACACCACUG
rnacentral:lncRNA from 1 species